CCAUAUGCUAUAGCUGCUGAAUUGUUUACUUACAUCUUCAACAAGUGGAGGGAAGCCAUACACUUUCUCCAGGUACUCAACUGCAACAUACUCCCCUUGUGACAACUUAAAUAUGUUCUUUUUUCGGUCAAUCACCUUCAGGAUUCCGUCUGGGGUCAUCUCUCCAAUGUCACCUGAAAAUAAGUGUGUUUGAGUAUUGUAUUGUGGAACCUUAUCUAAUUUUUUUUUUAAUUUCAUUAAAUUGAGUAUUCACCUGUAUGAAACCAUCCGUCAACUAUUGCUUCAUUUGUGAGUUCUGGACUUUUGUAGUACCCAGCGAAGAGAGAUUUCCCGUGAAUGCAGAUUUCACCACGUGAAGGGACACCAAGUGGAUCAUACCCCAUCUCGGGUACUUCUUCCAGUCGUAUUUCAGUGUAGGUGGCAGGUACACCAGCACUUCCAACCAGGGCCAUGUCAUCAAUGUAGCAGACGGUACUAGGUCCCAGUGUUUCUGUUAAACCUGAGCAAAGGUCACAGAAUCUACCCUCAUACUGGUUUCUUUUGAAUUGGCUAAUUGGGAUUUACAAGUCAGGCACUUGUUAGGAUUGAAACAGAAUAUAUAGAUUCCUGAGAAGUUUCUGCUUCUACGUAUAAAAAGCAAGGUGCAACCAUGUGCAAGUGCAAUAAAGCUAAAUACUUAAAACACAGUAGCUUUGUAAAAGUUCUCUCAAAACUAGUAUCUGCGAUGGAAAAUUGAAAUAGUGAUUCACAGCAGAGAUAGGACAAGGAUAGUAAACAGGAAACCUGGAGUCAACCUAGACAGUAAGUAAUUGGCGUUAUAAGUGUUUACUUCAUUUUGUUACACUUUAGUACUUUGCCAUUUUCUCAUUUCUCUUUCCUUUGAUGCUACAGAAUUAAUUUGGAACAGUAGAAAGUGUUUGUAUGCAUUACCAUAGCCUUGGAUAAAGUAUGCACAGGUGGUCACUCUCAUGAACUCUUCAAUCUCAUUACUUAACGGAGCCCCUCCUGAAAUUAAUAAGCG
rnacentral:lncRNA from 1 species